rnacentral:tRNA from 5 species
GCGGAAAUAGCUCAGUGGUAGAGCACCACCUUGCCAAGGUGGGGGUCGCGGGUUCGAACCCCGUUUCCGCU